UUACUUAAAUUGAGUGCCCGUUCAGCCAUCAGGGGCGCCGUUAUAAAGGGAAACGCUCUCAGAGUACGCCCCGUUCUGAUGUCACGUCCUCCUUGCUGUUGGCUGUGCAUGGCUGGAAUAAACAAAUGACUGAUUCAACACGAAAUCUGAUUAACACUUUAUGUAAAUCUUCCCAUACUCAUUGGUCAGGUUUUUUUUGGACUCCCUGAACCUCUUCUAGAGUGGCGAGCUGGUAGGAUUAUUUAUUUUUUCCCUUUUGAUUCGGGACCUUGGACACUGUGAGAGUCCUGUUUUUUUUUUCCCCCCCAAAAGGAACUUAACUAAAAGAACAUGGACAAUAACUGAACUUUCAUAUUUAGGUUGGAUAACCACAAACUGAACCAUUUUGAUUGAAUGACUGGAUACUUGUCUAAUGUAAUAUUGUCUUGACACACUUAUCUGGUGUCUGUCUAAUUAUUUGUUUGUUGUAAUUUAAGUUAAAUAUAUGUUUCUGAAUCAGAUGAGCAUUUAUUUUUUUUCUUCCUCUGGUUAUCUUGUUCCAUCCCAGGCUCCUAUGACGAACUUAAUUUUUUGUUGUCAGUUUUGUUAAUAUCUUUGCGAUAACUGGUCCAUAUAUAUAUUAAAAAAAACGUAACCCAUACAAGCAUAUUGUGUCCGUGUUACAUUUGGCAAGCUAGCCAGGAGCCUGGUUAUGGGUGAACAAGUAAUGAUUGAUUGAUGAUUUGAUUUUGAUUGCUCAUUGCUCAUUUGAUGUGGUUAAUUAAUAUUUCUUUUGUCGGGUUCCAUUAUGGAUUUUUUUGAAAAAUCAGGGAUAGACACACAGAAUUGUGUUAUCAUUUCUGGUGUAACUCAUACAGACAAAGAUGAAGAUAUUAUAGAUGUUUUAAAGCGAUAUGGGUCUAUUAAAAAAAUAAUCGCUGUUGAUGAUGUAGAGAGUCCGCUUAAUAAAAACCUGAUUAUUGAGUAUAAUGAUAAUAGUGCUUUAACUGCACUCAAGCCUAUUUUGCCACAUACCCAUGUUUCUGGCGAGAAUCCUGAAAUCAAACUUUGCGUUACAUUAUCUCCAGACCAAUGCACAGGCACAGGGGGGUCGACCACAUUCCCUAACUAUAUGGAUGAACUGAAAUAUAUUGCACGGAGAAGUGGACAGAAGUUUGAUGUUGUUCUACAAGAAGUGAUGUCACAGAUAAAGACACAUUUGGACACUUUGGAAAUCAGUGAAGAGGAGGAAGAAGAAGGUGCUGAUCAAGCUGUGGGCUCAGUGCUUUUCCUGCCUGGCCAGCAGGGGGCACCAAGUGGAGCCAAGUCACAACCUCAGUUUCCUGUUGUUUAUUUGUUACCUGAUCAGAGAGAGUCAGUGUUUUCCCAACAGAAACCUUCUCUUUUAGCAACUCAUUUAAAUCCCCCUGAAAUUCAAAAAGUUGUUGUGGAACAUAUUGUGAUUUUUGUUAAUAUCUUUGCGAUAACUGGUCCAUAUAUAUAUAAAAACAAACGUAACCCAUACAAGCAUAUUGUGUCAGUGUUACACAUGGCUGGGUUCUACCACCGUUUUAUUCCCCAGUUCUCCCAUAGGGCAGCUCUGCUCACUGACAUGACGGGAUCCCACUCCCCCAAUCACAUACAAUGGACAGAGGAUGCGGUGACAACAUUGUAGGACAUCCAACAGUCAUUAAGUAAGCAACCUGUAUUGUACAGUCCCAACUUUGAUGAAAAGUUCAUAUUACAGACUGAUGCUUCAGAUCGGGGUCUGGGAGCUGUUCUCCUUCAGGAAACCACUGGAGAUCGUCAUCCAGUGGCAUACAUCAGCCGGAAGCUGUUUCCACGGGAGGUUCGCUAUUCCACAGUGGAGAAGGAGGCAUUAGCAAUCAAGUGGGCUGUGGACUCCUUCCGGUACUACCUGUUAGGAAGAGACUUCACCUUGGAGACGGAUCAUCAGGCGCUCCAGUGGCUUAAGAAGAUGAACGACACAAAUGGACGAAUUACCCGUUGGUACCUGGCCUUAAAACCGUUUCAGUUUAUGGUGUGCCAUAUACCAGGCAAUAACAAUUCGGUUUCCCUUUAAUUUACUUUGUAGUCAUUAUUUUAAAUAUUCCUUAAUUAUAGUUUCUUAGUUUAUUCCUCGGUCACCUUACAAUGUUUAUAUGAAGUGCACACAUAUUAACACUGCAAGGUCAAUUCAGUUCUACGUUGUAUUAAUACUCUUUUCUUUGUUUGAGUUUACCUGGGUGUUUGGCUUCCCCUUCCUGAUGGGCAAAAGGCAUGGCUAAGGGCUGAGAUUCCUGAAGUACUGCUGAUGGCCUCAUUGGACUGAACCAAACGGUUCAUUCCAAGUGGGGGACCCUUAGGGGGUGUUUUGGAUUUAUUUCCUUGUUUUGUAUUAGUUAUUAUGUGGCACCCAUUUUGUCUUCCCCUAUUGUGUGUGUGUAUGGUUUAGCUAAACCUGUACCUAAGGGCCCUUAUGUGUCAGUUCAGCAGGUCGGUUUUGGUUCGUAUCUGUCUGAGUCUUGUCAGUGAUGAUUUUGAGUCUAGUAUCUUGAGUUGACCUCUUUUAUUGGCAUGCCUGUAAAAUUACUCAUUUUGUUAACCAUUUUUUCAUGUUUUUUGGGUAAAUAAAAACCCACUUUUUUGAAUUCAAA